rfam:Gossypium arboreum cultivar AKA8401 contig_6886_15, whole genome shotgun sequence.
AACUCAUGAUGAGGGCACCUUCUCAACAUAUCCUGAAAUCUCUUCUGUGCAUCAUACAAUGUCCAACUCAAUUUGAGUAAAGGAAGAGAUGUCGUUCCUUAACUU